AGAAUCAUUAACUCUUCUUUUCUUUAAAGCUGCAAAAACAUUUGGUUUAGUUAUAUUUUAUGAAGGAAUAAAAGUUGUACUAAUAGGUAAAGGAACCCAUCUAGAUUGUGAAUUGGUAAUUCUAUUUAUUGCCUCAUCCUCUUAUUUUCACAUUUCAGAAAUACUAUCAUUUCUCACUUUUUUACACACAAUAAUCCAUUUCCUAGUGAUUUUCAAUAAAUAAGCCCUCACUCUAUUAUAACUCCUUUGCUUUUCUUGUCCAUAAAAAUUACAUACCCAUUUACAAUUAUCCACUCCUUUGGUUUUCUCAAGUUUAGUCACAUAUCUCCA
rnacentral:misc_RNA from 1 species